rnacentral:lncRNA from 1 species
GUUGUAUUCAUAAUUAUAAUAAAAAGAAUGAAAAAUAACAAUUAAAGUGAUCUAUAUCUUACUCCUUCCCUCCUGCUCUUAGAAAGAAAAGAAAUGACCAAAAAAUUGGUCAUUCAUUGGUUGGUCGAUUGGUUAAAGGGAAAGCAGAACACAGAAAGGUGGAGAUAGGUGGGGGACAGGUUCAAGAUAUAUUCUAAACAUGUCAGGCUGGGUCUCUCCCUGGAGUUCUAAAUACUGACAAAUGUUCCUUUUUCCUUUACUAGCUUGGGAUCCAAUUGGAAAGGCUGAAUGGCAGUGUCUAUUGCCUACCUCUCAGCACCCAAAAAAGGGCACUGCAAACAACAGAGAGGAACAUGGAAGGCUCAGGAAAGAUACUAGCCUUCUACCCUCAAGGAGGUUACAGACUACCUGGGGAAUGAGCUAAGAACAAAGAGACCUAUGACCCACAAUAUCUGAUGAUAAAUGCAUUAAAGAAGUCACAAAACAAAGUGCCCUGUGGCUUCUGAAGGGAAACCAUCAUUUUCUUCUCCAUCUGGGGUCACCCUCACCCCAGCACAGAGCAAUAAAUUUGUUUCAUUUCUAUACA